rnacentral:rRNA from 1 species
AUUGAACGCUGGCGGCAGGCCUAACACAUGCAAGUCGAGCGGAUGAAGGGAGCUUGCUCCUGGAUUCAGCGGCGGACGGGUGAGUAAUGCCUAGGAAUCUGCCUGGUAGUGGGGGAUAACGUCAGGAAACGGGCGCUAAUACCGCAUACGUCCUGAGGGAGAAAGGGGGGGAUCUUCGGACCUCACGCUAUCAGAUGAGCCUAGGUCGGAUUAGCUAGUUGGUGGGGUAAAGGCCUACCAAGGCGACGAUCCGUAACUGGUCUGAGAGGAUGAUCAGUCACACUGGAACUGAGACACGGUCCAGACUCCUACGGGAGGCAGCAGUGGGGAAUAUUGGACAAUGGGCGAAAGCCUGAUCCAGCCAUGCCGCGUGUGUGAAGAAGGUCUUCGGAUUGUAAAGCACUUUAAGUUGGGAGGAAGGGCAGUAAGUUAAUACCUUGCUGUUUUGACGUUACCAACAGAAUAAGCACCGGCUAACUUCGUG